UCCAUCAAGUGCACAUAAGGCAUUGAAGCCAAAGGAAAAUAAGGGAGGAGCAUCAAAGGACGUGCUGUGUGUGUUUCACAAGCAGUUUUAUAAACAUCCUUUCCUUUCAAUCUCCAGAUCUGGAGUAAAAUGCUAGCACAUCAGCUAGCACAUCAGCUGCAGCUGAGCAUGACUGGCUGCAGCUACAGGAAAAGCAAGACCUUCCUGGGGUAUAAAUGCUGUGAACCCCUCCAUCGUAGGCUCAGGUUGUAUAUAUGUAUAAAUAAACCAUAUACUGUAUAAUAAAGACACCACAGUCUCCGCUGUGCCUCAUUUCCAAAAGGAAAAACGAACCCUGGGUAAGCGCCUGGAACCCCUGGAAUCUUGCACCACUCAGAGAUUGGGUUGGUGUGCAGCAACAGAGAUUUUUAAUUUCUGAGUUUGGGUGCUGUGCUUGCAUGCGCACACACUCACACAUAGCUCGUACAGGGUGUUUAUAUGUCUUCUUAUUAAUAAUUUGUUCAUCCUAUACUUUUCAGUGUAUUCCCAAUUCUCCACAAGGUCAUUUUUUAAAGGAGGGGAAAUGUGGAUUUGUUAUGCUAGAGCAACAAAGUGCUUUAAUCCAAUUUAACUGCACAAACUUAAACUUUGGGACGUGCUUGAAUCCCUCCCACAACAUGCUGACAGUCUGGAGGUAAUCUAGGUAAAAAUAUAGCAGCUUUAUUGGACAAACUGGACAAAUAUAGCAUCAAAACUUAGGGAAUAUGUGGAGAAAGUUCUUCAGUACUGUUUAUCAUCUCUAAACUCCAACAAAGCGAUGUAUACUUGGUUUGUGUGCACUUGCAAGCAUCCCAAUAGCUUUUUGCCCACAUCAGAAUCAAGAUUCAACGUAAUCUAUGGAAGCAGCACCCACAUUUCCCCAGACUAUAGGCUAAAAUGUUCUAUUGUUGACAGUAUAGCUGUGAAACAUUCACAUGUAAAUGUUUUAACUGUCAAAUACAUCCUACCUACAAAGCACACAGGAAAAGGUUGAGUCAUGAGGCUCACAGCUUCACUUCUUUUCUAGAUUAAUUCUUUCUAUUAAACACAUACACAUGCUGAUUCAACCCUAGCACAGUGUUCUGCAUUGAGCAAGUUCUUGUGAAGUUCAUGCUACCUUUGUGUGUUUUAUGAAACGUUUACUGAUGUUUCAAGGUAAAGUUGAUGAGUCAUAAACAGGGUAGGAAAUAUAUCUCACUCUCCUCAUUUUUCCUCUGUUCAAGCUCCUGCAGCAGGAAUUUUAAAUAUGGGCUGGCUACACAUUACACUUGAAAAGUGAAUGACUGCUUCCCAAAAGCCCUAGACCACUCAUUUUGGACCCUCACACCUAUGAUUCUCUUCCCUUUUCAGCUCUUUCUCCCUUUCUCACUCCUAGGAUCUCCAGAGCUACUACUGAUGCGACAUCUGCAUUCUCAGCUCACCCUUUCUCUACCUCAGUACAAACCACCCCAGGUGUCCAGGAGACAUUGCUGGCCAUUUAUAUGAAAGUCUCUGUUCUAAGCUCCACAUAUCAACUGCAAGGGAAACCUGCAUGCCUAUUACUCC